AGGACGAACGCUGGCGGCGUGCUUAACACAUGCAAGUCGAGCGGUAAGGCCCUUUCGGGGGUACACGAGCGGCGAACGGGUGAGUAACACGUGAGCAAUCUGCCCUUCACUUCGGGAUAAGCCUCGGAAACGGGGUCUAAUACCGGAUAUGACCGCGCUACGCAUGUGGUGUGGUGGAAAGUUCUGGCGGUGAGGGAUGAGCUCGCGGCCUAUCAGCUUGUUGGUGGGGUAAUGGCCUACCAAGGCUUCGACGGGUAGCCGGCCUGAGAGGGUGACCGGCCACGACUGGGACUGAGACACGGCCCAGACUCCUACGGGAGGCAGCAGUGGGGAAUAUUGGACAAUGGGACGAAAGCCUGAUCCAGCAACGCGCGUGAAGGAGUGACGUCCGUUCGGGUUGUAACCUCUUCAGUCGCCGACGAAGCGAAGUGACGGUAGCGCAGAAGAGCACGCCAAC
rnacentral:rRNA from 1 species